rnacentral:rRNA from 1 species
UACGUAGGCAGCAAGCGUUGUUCGGAAUUACUGGGCGUAAAGCGUGCGUAGGCGGUUGGCUAAGUUUGGUGUGAAAUCUCCCGGCUUAACUGGGAGGGUGCGCCGAAAACUGGCCGGCUGGAGUGCGGGAGAGGGAAGUGGUAUUCCUGGUGUAGCGGUGAAAUGCGUAGAUAUCAGGAGUAACACCUGUGGUGUAGACGGCUUCCUGGACCGUGACUGACGCUGAGGCACGAAAGCGUGGGGAGCAAACAGG